GGCUUGGCUUUUCUGCCAAUCUGACAACAGGCCACAAUAUUAGGCAUGCAUCAUUUAAUGACCUCUGAGUAAUUCCCGUUACUGUAUGUAAUGUUUUGUUAUGCUAUGCUAUGCAUUCUGCAUCUGUACCUCUUAGCUCCAGUGGUAGAACUCCCCUGACCACACUUCUUUUAGAGUCGCUGGAGUAACAGGAAUCGUGGAGAUCCAGUACUCGCUUAUGUGUAAAGGCUGAAGAGCUCUGCCUGCCUGGACCUCUGCAUCCUGAAGCACACCUAGAUACUCCCACUGGCAGAGGGAGUAACAGAGGAAGAAACAAGGGACGAUGAUGGCAAUCCUCCGGAUAUACUUGGGGGUGAAAUUCGACCCAUCUUGGUUCUGUUCGGACUUCUUGCCGAGUCCGUGUCCCACUGGCAUGCCCCGUUGUGUUGUCUUCUCCAGGAGGUGGAUUCUCCAGACGGGAGUUGUUUUUUCCAGGGUCACCAAGCAACUCCGUAUGGUGGUGUGCUCGUGGAUCAUAAAGAUGGCAAACACUUGCAUGACGGAUGUUUGGAAGUGGAGGCGAGCGUCUGAGCUGUGGUCCACUUCCUGCCGUGUGACCCGCCUCCUCCUGCCUGACACCUCUGACCCAUAUUCAGUUCCUAGCAUAACCAAGUCCUGAAGACACGGGAGAUGAAACUUUUGGUUCAGCUCUCGUAAAGAUGAAGAAAGUUUUAUUUAGUUCUCAUUCUUACUCGUGAGUACAGAACAAGAGGGCCUCGGCGAGUGCUAUAUGUUUUCGGGAUUGUUGACGCUUCACUCCCUAGUAGGCUUCCGCUGUUGGUCAGAUGCAGGAGAGCAUCAUGGGAUUUCCAGAUAUAGUAGUCCUAUAUUUGGGUCAUAUAUUUUAAUGACAUAGUUAGGGAUUGAAGUAGUAGAAAAGCCACAAUAUGAAAAGCAUUACUUUGUAUUCUAUUUGCUAAAAACAAGGAAAGGAAAUAAUGUGCAUAAAGUCAGAUCAAGCAAGAAUUGAGGAAAUGACACAAAGUGAAAGUCAAUGCAACCUCUUUGUCUCCAACGCUAACAUAUCAAGCAAACUUUAACACCUGUGGCGUGUAGCAGACGUCCAGUCGGCCACCUGUACUCUCAGUGAAGACUCGAGCGUACCCCCGACUCAGCGGCGACAGAGACAAAUCCAUGGUGUUAACUCCUAUCUCGUCUAAAAAAAAAGCAUUUAUUAAAUGAGCAUGUAUUCCAGCGUCAAUGGUGUUAUGAUCCUAUACAUGGAUCUGGUGGAAUUCCUAAAGGUGGGAAAGUUUGUUAAGAAAAAUAGAAUGGACGUACCUGCUACCUCCUAAGUUUGGGUUAGAGCAUGAAUGUAUGCUUGUUGCUAGGAUGUAUGAUUCACUACUUUGUGUUACCGUUGCCCCCAGCUUCAGCUGCUUGGAUUACCACACGCACACAUUCGCACACGCACGCACACAACUUUUGUAUGAAGUAU